AACGCACAUUGCGCCUGCCGGUACUCCGGCAGGCAUGCCUGUUCGAGCGUCAUUUCAACCCUCAGGCCUCAGUUAGCCUGGUGUUGGGGGCGCUGCGGCACUCUGCCGCAGCCCCCUAAAAAGUAGGGGCGGAUCUUCUAAGACUCCGAGCGCAGUAAUUUAACCUCGCUUAGGGUGUCUUCGGAGGACUCCAGCCCUUAAAACCCCAACUCUUUUAGAAGUUUGACCUCGGAUCAGGUAGGAAUACCCGCUGAACUUAA
rnacentral:misc_RNA from 1 species